UGGGGCUGUUCUCUGCUGACUUACUGGAUUCUUGGUCUCCCCCAGCUAGAUGUUCAGCCCCAAAAAGACAGGGUGAGGCGCGAAUCAACGUUUUCCAUAUUUUAAGCCACUCAAUCCUCCCAGCAUUUUGAGAAAGGCAGUGGGAGACUUGAAGACGGAGAGGAGAUCGUGUGACCACGGACGCCGAGACUGGAGUGAUGUGGCUGCAAGCCAAGGAAAGACAGCUGCCUUGGAAGCUGGAAGGGGCAAGAGCCUCCAGUUCUGCAACACCUUGAUUUUGACCCAGUUACACUGAUUCUGGAAUUCUGAACUCCAGAACUGUGGGAUGAUAAAUUUCUGUUGUUUUGAGCGGAACGAAAGCAAAAGCUGCCUAAUUCUGUAUAAGUCCAGGUGUUAAGGACACUCCAUGAGCCUCUACCCCACCCCGCUGUCCCAACCCUGGACAGAACCACCAUCAUCUUAUCCCUGGACUUUCACGUAUGGCUCCCUUCCUGGUCCCCUCACAGUUACACUUUCCCCCGCAUCACAGUCCUGUACCUUCUCCAUACCUAGCGUGACCUGAGGAUUGUGUUUCUCCCCAUGUCUAAAUCCUGCCUUUUCACUACACUUUGGAUCUCUUGCAACAUUUUUUAAAAUUUGUUUAUUUUUUAUUGAAG
ensembl:lncRNA